rnacentral:rRNA from 1 species
GAUGAACGCUGGCGGCGUGCCUAAUACAUGCAAGUCGAGCGAACGGACGAGAAGCUUGCUUCUCUGAUGUUAGCGGCGGACGGGUGAGUAACACGUGGAUAACCUCCCUAUAAUACUGGGAUAACUUCGGGAAACCGGAGCUAAUACCGUAUGAUAUUUUGAACCGCAUGGUUCAAAAGUGAAAGACGGUCUUUCUGUCACUUAUAGAUGGAUCCGCGCUGCAUUAGCUAGUUGGUAAGGUAACGGCUUACCAAGGCAACGAUGCAUAGCCGACCUGAGAGGGUGAUCGGCCACACUGGAACUGAGACACGGUCCAGACUCCUACGGGAGGCAGCAGUAGGGAAUCUUCCGCAAUGGGCGAAAGCCUGACGGAGCAACGCCGCGUGAGUGAUGAAGGUCUUCGGAUCGUAAAACUCUGUUAUUAGGGAAGAACAUAUGUGUAAGUAACUGUGCACAUCUUGACGGUACCUAAUCAGAAAGCCACGGCUAACUACGUG